rnacentral:rRNA from 1 species
UGGCAGACGGGUGAGGAACACGUGGGAAUCUACCGUUCCGUUCGGAAUAACAGGGCGAAAGUCCUGCUAAUACCGGAUACGGUCGCGAGACGAAAGUGGCAACGCGCGGAACGAGGAGCCUGCGGCGGAUUAGGCAGUUGGUGGGGUAACGGCCUACCAAACCGAUGAUCCGUAGCUGGUCUGAGAGGAUGAUCAGCCACACUGGGACUGAGACACGGCCCAG